GGGAUGGAAAGCACCUUAUAGAGUCUCUCCUCGGUCCUCGAUGCGAACGGAUUGUCACAUGCAAUCCCCAGUGAGCCCGUCGCGUUAAAUUUUAACCUAAGUUUUUCUUACCAUAUCAUAUAUGUCACACUAAUUUCUAUUUAAUAUUAUUACCACGAAGAUAAUCUCUCGAAAAAGUUUCCUUUUGUUUCUUUUGUUUUCGCAUAUGGUUGUCACGCAGUGAAAUUCGGGGUUUUCUUUUUUUGUUUUUAUAUUUGUCUCAUUGGAAUGUGAAUUGUAAAACAAUUUUCUUUUUUUUUCAUUAACAAUGAUUAUUUUAUCACAUAAGGAAUUUAUAAGUGUACGUAUAUUGUUUAUUCGUUAGAGUUGUCACGGGUUUUUUUUUUUAUUCAUAAACUUAAUGGUUUUAAAGUGAUUUAAAGGUUUUUUUGAGAGUAUAUACCGAGAGUUGUUGGUUCGUGUGCGUUCUUUCUCGCCGCGGAAAAUAUAAUGAUGGCGAGCGUUUCGUUCGAGCGGUACUAGCGUUGGAAACCUGCGAUAAGGAGGGAGUGUCUACUGCCGCCAUAAUGAUAGCCCUGAGCAGCUCUCUGACUCCGAUAUGGAUCGUGUCCUCCAACAGAGGGUUGGUGGGAUCCCUCUGGUGCAACGAGGGGUAGUGAGCGGUUGAUGUCGUCAUGGCAACAACGAUCCCUCAGUAGCCGAACCCUCCUACACCCUUCAUUCAACUCUGCCACCCCUGUAAUCCGCUCGAACCCGAAGACAGCCACUACGCAAUUUUCGCGAGAGGAUACGCAUUUUUUCUACGUUACCUCUUAAGAAUAACAAUAAAUCUUUUUUAUAAUCCACAACAAUAACGGGCGCAACUUGUGGAUCUCGAAGAUGGUAGAAGAGACGAACGAUGGAUGGAUGGAUGGAUGGAUGGAUGAGCUUUGUGAAUUGUACGAGACAAGAAUAAGACGGAAUAAUAAUCGAUAUCAUCGCAAUCUACAGUAAUUACAGAUAGUUGAUGCCCAUUACGAUUUACGAUUUCUCGAAACUCGCAGAUGGGAAACGCAGGACACUCUUGCACCCAUCUUCCAGCUACGUCUAGAAGAAGAAGAAAAAAUAAAGAUAAGAAUACUGAAAACGAA
rnacentral:lncRNA from 1 species